rnacentral:rRNA from 1 species
AAUCAACGCUGGCGGCGUGCCUCAGACAUGCAAGUCGAACGAGAAAGUUUCCUUCGGGGAAUGAGUAAAGUGGCGCACGGGUGAGUAACACGUAGGUAAUCUACCUUCGGGUGGGGAAUAACCCAGGGAAACUUGGGCUAACACCGCAUAAUGCAGCGGCACCACAUGGUGACAGUUGUUAAAGCGGGGGAUUUUAGGACCUCGCGCCUGAAGAGGAGCCUGCGGCGGAUUAGCUAGUUGGAAGGUAACGGCUUACCAAGGCGACGAUCCGUAACCGGCCUGAGAGGGCGGUCGGUCACACUGACACUGACAUACGGGUCAGACUCCUACGGGAGGCAGCAGUCGGGAAUUUUGGGCAAUGGGCGAAAGCCUGACCCAGCAACGCCGCGUGAAGGAUGAAAUCCCUCGGGAUGUAAACUUCGCAAGAUUAGGGAAGAAUUAGUAGGGUUAAUACCCUCUAUGACGACGGUACCUUUUGUAAGCUCCGGCUAACUCCGUGCCAGCCGCCGCUGUAAC